rnacentral:rRNA from 1 species
AUUGAACGCUGGCGGCAUGCCUUACACAUGCAAGUCGAACGGUAACAGGUCUUCGGAUGCUGACGAGUGGCGAACGGGUGAGUAAUGCAUCGGAACGUGCCCAGUCGUGGGGGAUAACUAUCCGAAAGGAUAGCUAAUACCGCAUACGAUCUGCGGAUGAAAGCGGGGGACCUUCGGGCCUCGCGCGAUUGGAGCGGCCGAUGUCAGAUUAGGUAGUUGGUGGGGUAAAGGCUCACCAAGCCAACGAUCUGUAGCUGGUCUGAGAGGACGACCAGCCACACUGGGACUGAGACACGGCCCAGACUCCUACGGGAGGCGGCAGUGGGGAAUUUUGGACAAUGGGCGCAAGCCUGAUCCAGCAAUGCCGCGUGCAGGAAGAAGGCCUUCGGGUUGUAAACUGCUUUUGUACGGAACGAAACGGCUCUGGUUAAUACCCGGGGCUAAUGACGGUACCGUAAGAAUAAGCACCGGCUAACUACGUGCCAGCCGCCGCCGUAACAC